rnacentral:rRNA from 1 species
AGAGUUUGAUCCUGGCUCAGGAUGAACGCUGGCGGCGUGCCUAAUACAUGCAAGUCGAGCGAACGGACGAGAAGCUUGCUUCUCUGAUGUUAGCGGCGGACGGGUGAGUAACACGUGGAUAACCUACCUAUAAGACUGGGAUAACUUCGGGAAACCGGAGCUAAUACCGGAUAAUAUUUUGAACCGCAUGGUUCAAAAGUGAAAGACGGUCUUGCUGUCACUUAUAGAUGGAUCCGCGCUGCAUUAGCUAGUUGGUAAGGUAACGGCUUACCAAGGCAACGAUGCAUAGCCGACCUGAGAGGGUGAUCGGCCACACUGGAACUGAGACACGGUCCAGACUCCUACGGGAGGCAGCAGUAGGGAAUCUUCCGCAAUGGGCGAAAGCCUGACGGAGCAACGCCGCGUGAGUGAUGAAGGUCUUCGGAUCGUAAAACUCUGUUAUUAGGGAAGAACAUAUGUGUAAGUAACUGUGCACAUCUUGACGGUACCUAAUCAGAAAGCCACGGCUAACUACGUGCCAGCAGCCGCGGUAAUACGUAGGUGGCAAGCGUUAUCCGGAAUUAUUGGGCGUAAAGCGCGCGUAGGCGGUUUUUUAAGUCUGAUGUGAAAGCCCACGGCUCAACCGUGGAGGGUCAUUGGAAACUGGAAAACUUGAGUGCAGAAGAGGAAAGUGGAAUUCCAUGUGUAGCGGUGAAAUGCGCAGAGAUAUGGAGGAACACCAGUGGCGAAGGCGACUUUCUGGUCUGUAACUGACGCUGAUGUGCGAAAGCGUGGGGAUCAAACAGGAUUAGAUACCCUGGUAGUCCACGCCGUAAACGAUGAGUGCUAAGUGUUAGGGGGUUUCCGCCCCUUAGUGCUGCAGCUAACGCAUUAAGCACUCCGCCUGGGGAGUACGACCGCAAGGUUGAAACUCAAAGGAAUUGACGGGGACCCGCACAAGCGGUGGAGCAUGUGGUUUAAUUCGAAGCAACGCGAAGAACCUUACCAAAUCUUGACAUCCUUUGACAACUCUAGAGAUAGAGCUUUCCCCUUCGGGGGACAAAGUGACAGGUGGUGCAUGGUUGUCGUCAGCUCGUGUCGUGAGAUGUUGGGUUAAGUCCCGCAACGAGCGCAACCCUUAAGCUUAGUUGCCAUCAUUAAGUUGGGCACUCUAAGUUGACUGCCGGUGACAAACCGGAGGAAGGUGGGGAUGACGUCAAAUUAUCAUGCCCCUUAUGAUUUGGGCUACACACGUGCUACAAUGGACAAUACAAAGGGCAGCGAAACCGCGAGGUCAAGCAAAUCCCAUAAAGUUGUUCUCAGUUCGGAUUGUAGUCUGCAACUCGACUACAUGAAGCUGGAAUCGCUAGUAAUCGUAGAUCAGCAUGCUACGGUGAAUACGUUCCCGGGUCUUGUACACACCGCCCGUCACACCACGAGAGUUUGUAACACCCGAAGACCGGUGGAGUAACCUUUUAGGAGCUAGCCGUCGAAGGUGGGACAAAUGAUUGGGGUGAAGUCGUAACAAGGUAGCCGUAUCGGAAGGUGCGGCUGGAUCACCUCCUUU